GAUGAACGCUGGCGGCGUGCCUAAUACAUGCAAGUCGAGCGAACAGACCAGGAGCUUGCUCCUCUGACGUUAGCGGCGGACGGGUGAGUAACACGUGGAUAACCUACCUAUCAUACGGGUAUAACUUCGGGAAACCGGCGCUAAUACCGUAUAAUAUCCUGAACCGUAUGGUUCAAUAGUGAAAUACGGUUGUGCUGUCACUUAUCGAUGGAUCCCCGCCGGAUUGGCUAGUUGGGAAGGUCACGGCUUACCAAGGCAACGAUGCGUAGCCGACCUGGGAGGGUGAUAGGCCACACUGGAGCUGAGACACGGUCAAGGCUCCUGCGGGAGGCAGCAGUAGGGAACGUUCCGCAAUGGUCGAAAGCCUGACGGAGCAACGCCGCGUGAGUGAUGAAGGUCUUCGGAUCGUAAAGCUCUGUUAUUAGGGAAGAACAAAUGUGUAAGUAACUAUGCACGUCUUGACGGUACCUAAUCAGAAAGCCACGGCUAACUACGUG
rnacentral:rRNA from 1 species